GGUCCAUAGCUCAGUGGUAGAGCAUUUGCCUGGAAGCAGAAGUUCCUGGGUUCAAUCCCUGGCAUCUCCU